rnacentral:rRNA from 1 species
ACCCGCUGAACUUAAGCAUAUCAAUAAGCGGAGGAAAAGAAACUAACAAGGAUUCCCCUAGUAACUGCGAGUGAAGCGGGAAAAGCUCAAAUUUAAAAUCUGGUGGCUUUUGGUCAUCCGAGUUGUAAUUUAGAGAAGCGUCUUCCGCGCUGAACCGUGCACAAGUCUCCUGGAAUGGAGCGUCAUAGAGGGUGAGAAUCCCGUCUUUGGCACGGAACAUCAGGGCUUCUGUGAUGCGCUCUCGACGAGUCGAGUUGUUUGGGAAUGCAGCUCAAAAUGGGUGGUGAACUCCAUCUAAAGCUAAAUAUUGGCGAGAGACCGAUAGCGAACAAGUACCGUGAGGGAAAGAUGAAAAGCACUUUGGAAAGAGAGUGAAACAGUACGUGAAAUUGUUGAAAGGGAAACGCUUGAAGUCAGUCGCGUCGACCGAGACUCAGCCUUGCCUUGGCUUGGUGUACUUCUCGGCUGACGGGUCAGCAUCAAUUUUGAUCCUCGGAUAAUGGCAAGGGAAAGGUAGCACCUUUUUAGGUGUGUUAUAGUCCUUUGUCGCAUAUGGGGGUUGGGAUUGA